UUUUCUGUAUUAUGGAUAAUUGGACAAUGAAAUAAUAAUAAAAGCGAAAAUGUUAAUUGUUCGAUGUAAUGAACAAUGUUUGAAUCUGUUAAUGGCGUGAAGUAUGUUUGGUUUGUAAAAUACUGUUGAUUGCCUGUUGUGUUUCAAGAAAUAAUAUUUAUAUUGAAUACGAAUACUUGAAUAUGUAUUUCGUUAAAGUAAUGUAUACUAGAGGUUUGAUAGUAUCGGUUUGUUUUUCGGCUAUUGAUUAUUGAGUUAAUGAUAGUUUAUUUAUUCUAGCUUGUACCGUUCAUUCUUCAGUUGUUCUAUAGAUUGUCUGCAACAAAGGAACUUGUCAUUUCUAAUAAAAGUAAUGCAAUUUAGAUGUAAUUUGUGAAUACAAUCAGUUGUUAUUAAUUGUCCUCUGGAAUCAAGACGAAUGGGACAUGUUUCUUCUUCAUUUGAGGGCAAUUGGAGUUAAAGCUUAGUUUUGUGCCAAAAGUGAUGAAUUCAAAUUGCUAGUUUCCUGUUUGCACACAUUUUAUUGGUACUGAAAAAAGAAGAAAGAAGAAAAUUAUUUUUAAGAAUAUUAAUUUUAUUUUAUUAUUUUAUGAAUUAAGUAGGGCAUGGAAAGUAUGAUUAAGAGUGAUUUUAAAUGUAUUUUAUUGGUUACUUAUUUAAUUUUUAAUUGGUAUUUCGGUUAUGUUGGUUAAAUAGUAAAAUAUGAAUUUUGUGUAAUGUAUGUCUGUGACAGGGUUGAGCGAGUAUGUAUUGUUGUGGGUGAGCUCGUGGGUUAUAUUGUGGGUUUCUAUAAGAUACAGCAAUCUCCCUCUUUUUGUGAUCUCUCCUAGUUCUGUUUGUGCUAAAGUUCGUUUUUUAGGUUUAUUAUUUGCGAAUACAAGAUCGCAUCAUUGUAUAAGAUAAAUUGUAACUUCUUAGGAUGAGUGUGUUACAUUGUUUAUUUAGUUGUUUCAAUAUUUCCGUUAUCAUGUAUGUACGUCUAUUUCACGUGAUAAUGAUAGGUGUCUAGUUUUUAUAUGGGCAGUAGUUUUAAAUAAAAUUGUUGUCCAAAUCGCCUUUUUUAUUAGAAAGCUCUCAUUGAAUUCAUUAAUAGUUGGAGUGGCUUUGUGAUGUUUUACCUUAAAUAUUUUUAGUAUAAUUCCAAUGACAAGAUCGAUUUGGGAUUAUUUUAUUUUUAGUAUAGUGUUUUGUUAAUAGUAGUUGUAGUGAGAAUUUUAGUUUUAUUAUUGGGAUUUCUUUAUACACGUUUGAUAUUUUGCCAGAAAUGAGUACUAAACUUGUUUGUUCCAUUGUAGUGAAUUCAAAGUCUACAGCAACAAUGUUUAAUUUGUACAUCAUGAACAAUUUUGUAAGUCCUGUAAUUUCAAAAUUUAAUGGUUUUAGAUUCUGGGCGAAGCGAAGAAUUUAUAUAUUUUACUGAGCAUAAUAUUUAGGAAUUGUACAUGAUUUGUGUAAUGGAGAAUAAAAUAUUUGAUAUUUUAACUUAAUUUGUUUUAUUAUACUUAGUAAUUAUUGUAUGUUGUUUUUAAUGAAGUAUUAUUUUGAUUACAUUAUAAUAUGUAGGUGAUAUUGUUAUCCUUUCUUUGUACAAUAUUUUGGUAUUUUGAUGUUAAUUACUUAAAAGAAUUAUGUAUUUUUGUGCGAGUGUGAGUUAUGUGUUUCUGCUGUACAUAAUAUUUGUGAGUUAUAUGAUUAGCGAUGAAGAAAAUGUUGAAUGAAAUAUUUGAUAUUGUGACUUCAUCAGUUUUAUAAUAUGUUUUAAUUAUUGUCAGUUGGUUUUGGAUGUUGUGAUAUUUUGAUGGUCGGUGAAGUUAGAUGCCUAACGUGAAUAUUUUUGUACCAAAUUUUGUCAAAAAUUUGUAAGUUAUUUGUAAGUUUGUGUAAAUACGUAGCAAGUAAUUAGAAAUUUGUUAGUUCAGCCGUUUUCAAUCAUCCACAAAAGCUUAAAUCACGGCUAACUUCUGCAAAACUUGGCCGUUUUAUCAUUUCAAAGUUUUCGAGAGAGCCAAAAUGUAUAGCCCAAUUUGUAAGUAUUUAUAAUCAAGAAUUUAAAACUUUCAAGUCCCUUAAUUAUCCCUAAAAAUAAGUAGCUCAAACUUUAUACAGCUUUUUCAACAAAUAUUUGCUUACAAAUACUGACAAAUUGGGCAGGACAUUUGGCCUCGGUUGAAAAUUUUGAAAUGAUAAAGCUGCAAAGUUUCGCAGAAGUGAGCCGUGAUUUAAGCUUUUGUGAAUGAUUAUAAACAGCUGAACUUACAAAUUCCUUAUUUGUGCUUACAUGAACUUACAAAUAACUUACAAAUUUUUGAAAAAAUUUGGUACCAAAAUAUUCACGUUAGGCGGCUGACUUUACGGAGCCUAUUUUGUUUCCGCAUAAUAUGUCAGUACGUUUGUUUUUCUUCCUUCAUAUAGUAUUUUGGCAUCUUAUAUUUAACUGUUUAAGAGAAUAUUAUAUUUUACAAAAAUUUAGAUUAAUAUAUUGCAGUACCCCCUUUAAGCAAAGCUUGUGCUGGGGGCGCAGUUCUUAUAGAUUAAAUAAAUAUAAACAAUGUUUUUUUUUUUUUUUGAUUACUAAUUAAUUAGUA